GGUAAUUUUAAGGAAAUUUUGCUGUUUUUGGUUAUUAUCUUGAAUAUAAUUAUAGAUAGAGAUAAACUGUAAACAGCAAUAAUGUUCAGCAAAGUAAGAUCUACAAAUAAGUCAACAUGACCAAAAUGGUCAGUUGACCACUUUAGGAGUUAUUGCCCUUUAUAGUCAAUUUUUAACCAUUUUUCGUAAAUCUUAGUAAUCUUUUAGAAAAGUCCUCUCCUCUGAAACUACUGGGCCAAAUUUAACCAAACUUGGCCAUAAUCAUCAUUGGGGUAUAUAGUUUAAAAAAUGUGUCCGGUGACCCGGCCAACGAACCAAGAUGGCCGCCAUGGCUAAAAAUAGAACAUAGGGGUAAAAUGCAGUUUUUGGCUUAUAACUCAAAAAACCAAAGCAUUUAGAGCAAAUCUGACACACAGUAAAAUUGUUCAUCAGGUCAAGAUCUAUCUGCCCUGAAAUUUUCAGAUGAAUCAGACAUUCCGUUGUUGGGUUGCUGCCC
rnacentral:lncRNA from 1 species